rfam:Botryobasidium botryosum FD-172 SS1 unplaced genomic scaffold BOTBOscaffold_2, whole genome shotgun sequence.
GCUGCGAUGCCGGAGUGGUCUAACGGGUGAGACUUGAAUUUAUUCGAAAUCUCAUGUUCUUUGAACGCGCAGGUUCAAAUCCUGUUCGCAGCG